GACGAACGCUGGCGGCGUGCUUAACACAUGCAAGUCGAACGGAAAGGCCCUGCUUUUGUGGGGUGCUCGAGUGGCGAACGGGUGAGUAACACGUGAGUAACCUGCCCUUGACUUUGGGAUAACUUCAGGAAACUGGGGCUAAUACCGGAUAGGAGCUCCUGCUGCAUGGUGGGGGUUGGAAAGUUUCGGCGGUUGGGGAUGGACUCGCGGCUUAUCAGCUUGUUGGUGGGGUAGUGGCUUACCAAGGCUUUGACGGGUAGCCGGCCUGAGAGGGUGAGCGGCCAUCUUGGGACCGAGAUGAGGCACCGACUCCUAAGGGAGGAAGAAGGGGGGAAUCUUGCACCAUGGGCGGAAGCCGUAUGAAGAAACGCCGCGUGCGGGAUGACGCCCUUCGGGUUGUAAAACGCUUUCGCCUGUGACGAAGCGUGAGUGAAGGUAAUGGGUAAAGAAGCACCGGCUAACUACGUG
rnacentral:rRNA from 1 species